rnacentral:rRNA from 1 species
CCUACGGGCGGCAGCAGUGGGGAAUAUUGCGCAAUGGACGAAAGCCUGACGCAGCGACGCCGCGUGAGUGAUGAAGGUCUUCGGAUCGUAAACCUCUGUUAGGAGGGAAGAAAGCGCAUGGCGCCAACCAGCCAUGCGUUGACGGUACCUCAACAGGAAGCGCCGGCUAACUACGUGCCAGCAGCCGCGGUAAUACGGAGGGGGCGAGCGUUAAGCGGAAUUACUGGGCGUAAAGCGCGCGUAGGCGGUUGUGUAAGUUUGGGGUGAAAUCCCACGGCUCAACCGUGGAACAGCCUUUGACACUGGGCGACUUGAGUGCGGGAGAGGGGAGUGGAAUUCCAGGUGUAGGGGUGAAAUCCGUAGAGAUCUGGAGGAACACCAGUGGCGAAGGCGGCCAUCUGGACCGGUACUGACGCUGAGGCGCGAAAGCGUGGGGAGCAAACAGGAUUAGAUACCCUAGUAGUC